CAGGCCUAACACAUGCAAGUCGAACGAGAUUGAAGAGCUUGCUUUUCAUGAAAGUGGCGCACGGGUGCGUAACGCGUAUGCAACCUACCUUAUCAGGGGGAUAGCCUCUCGAAAGAGAGAUUAACACCGCAUAAAAUCACAAGCUGGCAUCAGCAAAUGAUCAAAUAUUUAUAGGAUUAAGAUGGGCAUGCGCGACAUUAGUUAGUUGGUGAGGUAAUGGCUCACCAAGACGAUGAUGUCUAGGGGAUCUGAGAGGAUGACCCCCCACACUGGUACUGAGACACGGACCAGACUCCUACGGGAGGCAGCAGUAAGGAAUAUUGGUCAAUGGAGGCAACUCUGAACCAGCCAUGCCGCGUGCAGGAAGACGGCCCUACGGGUUGUAAACUGCUUUUAUACGGGAAUAACCUCUUUACGUGUAAAGAGUUGAAUGUACUGUAAGAAUAAGGAUCGGCUAACUCCGUGCCAGCAGCCGCGGUAAUACGGAGGAUCCAAGCGUUAUCCGGAUUUAUUGGGUUUAAAGGGUGCGUAGGCGGCCUAUUAAGUCAGGGGUGAAAGACGGUGGCUCAACCAUCGCAGUGCCUUUGAUACUGAUGGGCUUGAUUACACUUGAGGUAGGCGGAAUGUGACAAGUAGCGGUGAAAUGCAUAGAUAUGUCACAGAACACCAAUUGCGAAGGCAGCUUACUAAGGUGUCAAUGACGCUGAGGCACGAAAGCGUGGGGAUCAAACAGGAUUAGAUACCCUGGUAGUCCACGCCCUAAACGAUGAACACUAGAUGUUAGCGAUAUACAGUUAGCGUCAAAGCGAAAGCAUUAAGUAUUCCACCUGGGGAGUACGCUCGCAAGAGUGAAACUCAAAGGAAUUGACGG
rnacentral:rRNA from 1 species